CUUACAACUAUAAAAACUAAAAUAGCUGUUGACGUGUUUCAGGGUUGUGUUCAAAAUGGGUUCUUGCAAACUCUUUACUUUAGUCUUACUUUGUCACCAGUUGGUGUGUACAGGUAGGCCUACCACGAAUGAUUCGGGGUCAGCAGAAGCGGCGCGUGUUGUUGAGAACUUUCUUUUAUUGGAGAAUGCAGCUGACCUCAUCUUAAAAGGAAUUCUAAGCGAGGCUGAGAAUUCUUACCAUAACGUUAGCUCUGAAAUGUCAGAAAAAACUGGUGUUGAGAAGUCUGACAACCGCCAUGGCCAGUAUCCUGUUACUGAGGAACCAACGUCUGGCGCUCCAAGCAAUUUUACCACAGUGGAGGAAUCCACAUCUAGCACCACUAGUCCACAGCUUAACAUUGUUAUUCGUAAUUCCACUGAGGGUUCCAGUUCUGACUACCCUUACUCGAAUUAUACUUAUUUAUUUGUGAUUGGGAACUUGAGUCAAGGUGAAAACGUCACUAAAGCAUUUACUGUUAAUUUACCCUAAUAAAUCUGAUGUUCUCUUGAACAAA